UAAAACAGAGUUGAGGAAGAGCUUCUUCUCCCAGAGAGUUGUGGAGGUGUGGAAUGCACUGCCUCGGAAGACGGUGGAGGCCAAUUCUCUGGAUGCUUUCAAGAAGGAGUUACAUAGAUAUCUGAUGGAUAGGGGAAUCAAGGGAUAUGGGGACAAGGCAGGGACUGGGUAUUGAUAGUGAAUGAUCAGCCAUGAUCUCGGAAUGGCGGUGCAGACUCGAGGGGCCGAAUGGUCUACUUCUGCACCUAUUGUCUAUUGUUUUGUAAAUUAAUGUAGGGGGUGACAGUAAAAUAGAUUUCCAUGUGUAAACUGUAGUUGCAGACUGCUUCCAGUUUGAUUAUAUUCAGCAGUUUAUUCUAACGUGCGACCAUGCAGUAAUGUGCACAUUUGAAAGUAGGUACAUUCAGGGAAAGGUGAUGAUUGAUACAAUCCUCAAGUCCACCCCCGCCCCCUCCCCGAGCAGGAGCACAGUGUUUGUAACUGCUGGCAACAUCGGUAUGUAUUCAAGUUUAUUUCAAAUGAUUUCUGUGUGUUAUGAUCUUAAUUCCAGUAUAACAAUAACAAAACUUUAAUUUUGAUAAUCAGCAAUAAUCCCUAGCUGCUCAUUUUAAGGGGACGGAACAUUCUGGAUAGUCGCUCAGAAUUGAAAGGCAGGAGCAAAAAUAGCUAAGUGAAUCCCAUUUUCUACCGUCUCAUUCAGAAUGACUGUCAGUUGAUAUAGGUCAUAUUUCUGCCUUUGCCCCUGAGAAGCAAACUGUAAAAUCUCAGGGAAUGGACACAGGUGAUAGUAUAUGGACUUGAAAUACCAUAAUUUGGGACUCGGCAAGACCCCUGAUAAACCAAAUGGAUGUUUGCAAGUAGAAAUAGAAGUGCUUCUUCACCUUGCUAAAGGUAAGUCCAUUGUUGAUGUGUUUAAAUCAGAAAGUGCAGAUUGUUCACUGGUGGCAGCAAUGAUCAUCCGUGCAUAGGUUCCAGUUAUUCAUAAUCAUUCUAGGCUUUAAUCAAGAGGUUAGAGAGAUUUUACUAGAUCUCACAUGCCCACUGAUGGCUGGCGCUCUUACAACACAGCCUGAAUAACUAAUUGCUAGCUUCAAGAAAUUAUAUUUGCACACUACUGUAAACAUCACAAUAAAAGCUUAUGAAUACAUACCCAAUUUGAACUGGGUGUUGUAUGGAAACUGCCUACAGGCCACAGAUUUAAAUAUUACAUGUGAAACUCUACGCCAAAACUGUUUUUAUGUACUCGUAAGUAAAAUCUGGCAAAAUUUUAUAAUGAAUCUUCAGUCAAUGUCACAAAAUGUAUUUCAUGAGGGUAAACUGCUGGCUGCUUUAUUUGUUAGAUUGUUGACAGGCCUUAGAGCAUUUGAAGAAUGUCAAUUCAGUCACUGGUAGAGCCCAACAAAGAGGAAAAUGUACAUGAAUUCAAAACACUUAAAUCAAAUCCCAGUGAAACGGAAAUGUCAAAAAAAGCUCCAGAUAAACUAGAAAACCAGCUCACCGUUGAAGAUAUAAUGAAGUUGCAGGAUGUAUUCAUGCCACCAAAUUUUAAAGAACUUGUGCCAGUUAAUAGAAAGACCUUUAUCGACAAUAUGUUCACUGCCCUUGGACAUGGUGUUGAAGAAGAAUAUGGAGAUUUGUUUGACCGAAUUGAUGUUACAGGAGAUGGUUUUGUUGAUUGGGACAAAGUCACAACAUUCAUGCUUUUAGGUCAUUAUGAAAAAGAAGAGCGUGUGAAGUCUUCACUUGUUCCUCAGUGGAGAGAGAUUAUAUUGCUUCCAUCACAUCAAAAGGAACCUAUUCAAAGUAUAGUCUACCUGGAGAAUUCACACCAUUACCUUAGUCUGAGUAAAGACGGUUGGAUGAGCGUUUGGAGUGAGAACUUAAAGUUGGAGAAAACUUUACGAGUUGCCACUGAUUCUGUGAGAUUGCGAGACCUUUGGGUAACAAGUAUGGUCUUCUUAGAAAAUGUGAACAAGGUAGCUGUUGCCUUUACCAGUAAGGAGAUUUGCUUGUAUGAUCUUAAUUCCAAAGAAGAAUUUUCUUGCCAAUACAAACUUUAUGGGUUAUGGAACAUUGUGAUCUGCAUGCAUUAUUGGUAUAACCCAGAAGAUGAAAAUGAAGCAAUUCUCACCUUUGGUGAUGUUUGUGGAGAGGUUAAUGCUAUCUGUUUUACUACAGCUUUAAUUUCGCUUUUUGAGAGACCAGCCAGUUCAACAGACGAGCAGGAGACGACCAUUGCCAUUAACUGGCAGGAGCUGAUCAAAGGAAGUCACAAGUGCUGCUUCAUCUUAAAUCACAAGGGGCAUAGUAAAGAAUGGAUCAGGCAAGUGAGUUAUUGCUCUCACUUGGAGAUUUUCAUUUCUUGUGCUACUACCGACUUGAACACAAUAGUUCUGGGCUGGAGAGAAAAAGGAACAACCACACUUAAAGUCACUGCUUUCCAUGUUACUGAAGGUGUAAAUGCAUUUGAUUACCACCCUGGGCUUAACUUAAUUGCUUCAGCUGCUGUAGAUCAUCACGUUUACCUCUGGAACCCUUAUGUGAUGUCUAAACCUAAUGGAGUUUUACAAGGUCACCUAGCUAGUGUAAUAGCUGUACAAUUUAAUGUGUCACGAAAGCAACUCUUUAGUUUUUCAAAGGACAAGGUUUUGAGAAUUUGGGACAUGCACCAUCAACUCUGUAUCCAGCGGCUUGCCGGUAUAUUUCCAAAGUCUCUGGAAUUUCAAACAAUUAUGUAUUUUAAUGAACCCUUUGGUCAUCUGUUCACCACUUUCAACAAUCAGCUGACAUUGUUAGAAAUGAAACAAGAAGCUGCCAAUUCUAUAACAAGUCAUGAAAAACCAGUUACCUGCGUGCUUUAUAAUUCUCACUUCAAACAGGUUAUCAGUUCAGAUGUUGGGUCUACAGUCACCAUUUGGAUGAUUGAAACUGGACAAAAAGUAAAACAGUUUACUGGGUGUCAUGGCAAUUCUGAGAUUACAGCAAUGGCACUAAAUGAGACUGGGACUAGGUUAUUCACUGCAGGUGUUGAUGGAACAGUGAAGAUUUGGGACUUCAAUGGGCAUUGUCAUCACAAACUGAAUGCAGGACGGGACCAAGCAGUUGAGAUCUCCCAAAUCCUGGUACUGAAGAGGAGUAUUUUGAUUCUUGGUUGGGAAAGCACAAUUACUGUAUUCAGAAUGGACACCCUCACCGAGUUCCUUGUUCAGCCUUCAGAAUGGAAGGGGAAAGCACAACACCACAAUGACAUACUUUGUGCAGCAUUUUUACCACCUCAAACACUUGCCACAGGUAGUUAUGAUGGGGAGAUUGUAAUAUGGAAUAAUAUUUCUGAAAAUGCAUCAUGUAGAUUUCAUCCAUGUUUCAAUCAAGCAUUACAGCACAAACCAGGUAUUCAAGAGCAAGAAAGUCAAACACCAGGUAACUUUUCCACGAUUUCAAAUGGACAUCCUUUGCAUAGUCCCGACAGUGAAGGUGAUGAAUAUCGCUAUGUCAUUACAAGAAUGUUCUUUUUAGAGAGCAGAAGAAAUGGUUUAAAUAUGGAUGGAGCAAACCUAGUGUCCUGUGGUGUUUCUGGAAUUGUUCGCCUUUGGAACACCUUUAAGUGCCUGCUUGUAGCUGAGUUUGAGGCACAUGCCGAUGCAUUGUCCAUCAUUAUGACAGUUGAUAAGAAAAAUAACUACCUUAUUACAGGGGAUAUAAAUGGCUAUCUUAAGAUUUGGAAUAUACAGGACUACUGCUUGAAUCACAGUGAAGUUAUCAUUACUCAACUUCCACCAAUGGUAGCAGCAACAAAACCUCAUUCAGAUUGUAUAAAUCAUCUUGAAACUUUUGUUCAAGACAGUCGCUCACUAAUUCUCUCUGCUUCAGCUGACUGCACUAUUGUUUUAAGUGACAUUUCUGGAUCAGUGAUUGGUGUUUUUGGCCAGGAUGAACAUUGGCGAAUUGGUAAGUGUUCACCUCCUUCCAUAAUAAAGAUAACCCCCAAAGAAGAGAAGACUCCAAUUCAGAAAUCUGUGAAAAAUAAAGAUUAUCUGCCAAUUCCUAAACACAGUGUCCCUAUUAUUGAAGAGAAAACUGAUCCAAACAGCAGGGUGAACAUAUGGGAAACUACAGUAUUAGGCAAAAAAUUUAGAGAAAGCAGAAUCCAAAGAAGACCAAGACUUCACCUCUGUACCUGUGUCAAAGUACAGAACCCUAUUGGAACAUUUAGUUCGCUGCAUAUGGAAGAUUUGGAGAAAAUUAUUGAUGUGCCAAAGCCAGACUUCCUGCAAAACACCCAUAAAUACUUUAAUGAAAAGACAGAGGAGGCUUGUAGUGCCAAACUGACGAAUCCUACGUUGCCUGAAAUAAAGAUACUGGUGUGGACAGAGGAAUGGCUAACAGACAGGAGGCAGAGAGCCGGAAUGAAGGGGUCCUUUACUGGUUGGCUGCCAGUGACCAGUGGUGUUCCGCAGGGAAUUAACAGUAUGUUUUGAUGAGAAUAGCCUGUUUCCUAAAGAGAUGCUGGAUUGUGAACACAAAAUAAAGCUCUUGCAUGAGGAGGAUUUAAAUCUGAGAAAAAUAGCAGUAAAUGGGAAAGCUUCCAGAGUGAAACCAAGGUGUCCACAAGAAACCACAUUGAGGAACAAACUUGGAAAACUGUGAAAUUUAUCUCCAGAAAAAUAUAAUGUAAAAGAAUUUAAAGAUGUCAGUUUCUUAAAUUACAUAACAUUGAACAAAACUACAGAAAAAUAAAUUAAUUCAAAUAUGCUGCAUUGAGCGAUACAUAGAAAAUCAAACAUUGUUAUUUUCUCUUUUGCUUUCAUGCAAAACCAGCAAUAAAUGGUGAUAAUCCAAUUAUCAGGAACAUCAAGAUAAAAAUUAACUGUGAAAGCAAAAUGAAAUUUAGAAUAUUGUACUGCUUUCCAUUUGCAUGUAUAUAAUGUUAAGAUAAAAUCUGGGCUAUGAUUAAUCUAUAAAACAAAUGGUUUUUCAUUUGAAGAAUAUCUGCUCUGAAAUACCGAAUGCCUUAUUUGUUUAAUUUUAUUAUACCUUUCUCAAUGAAAAAUUAAAUCAGCUUUUUGUAGGCCAUGCAGAAAUUAAAAUUCAAUCUUGAUGAUUUUCAAAUGUUAUUUCAAUAAAAAUAUUCAUUAAUACAGAACCCUGGCAAACAUCUUAUGCAAAACCUGGGAAUUAAUGCCACUGAUUUGCAGGCUGGGCUUCUGUAAGGAAAGAAUUAAAUAUGAUUCCUCCUUGCUGUGUACUAAAGGAAAAUGGAAGUCUAUAACAAAACGUUGUCAGCGUGGAUUGGGAUUGUUUUGAGAAAGUACAGGAGAACCAGUCCACAGCAAUGUUUCGAGAAACUGAACCAAGUACAAGGCUGCAGCUGUAAUAGUGGAAAAUGAUGAAAAAUCUUUACCUGGCUGAAGGUCCCAGGAGAUAAGUGGAUGUUGCUGGUAUCAGCAAGGGAUGGAAAAGGACUAGUGUAAGGAGUUUUGAAGGGUAUAAAAAGGGGCACUUUCUUUCAGCAACUGGGAGAGUUUUAUCUUAGGCUUGGUCAAGAUCAGCGCUAGUGCUAGGAAGAUUUGGGGGGAAGGGAGAGAGAGAGAGAGAGAGAGACUCAUUAUUUGAGAUUGGCUUGGUUAGUGGAUGAUAAAUAUUAUUUCGAUUUCUGUACUGCAACUAUUGUAGACUUUUGUUUUCCUUUCUGUAUGCAUAUGGCCUAGUUCUAAUAAAGUGUCUUCUUGUGUCCUUGAA